CCUACGGGUGGCAGCAGUGGGGAAUAUUGCACAAUGGGCGAAAGCCUGAUGCAGCAACGCCGCGUGUGCGAUGAAGGCCUUCGGGUCGUAAAGCUCUGUCCUCAAGGAAGAUAAUGACGGUACUUGUGAAGUAAGCCCCGGCUAAAUACGUCCCAGCAGCCGCGGUAAUCCGUAGGUGGCUAGCGUUCUCCGGAAUUACUGGGAGAAAAGGGUGCGUGGGUGGUUUCUUAAGUCAGAGGUGAAAGGCUACGGUUCAACCGUAGUAAGCCUUUGAAACUGGGGAACUUGAGUGCAGGAGAGGGGAGUGGAAUUCCAAGUGUAGCGGUGAAAUGCGUAGAUAUUAGGAGGAACACCAGUGGCGAAGGCGGCUCUCUGGACUGUAACUGACACUGAGGCACGAAAGCGUGGGGAGCAAACAGGAUUAGAUACCCGAGUAGUC
rnacentral:rRNA from 1 species